rnacentral:rRNA from 1 species
UACGGAGGGUGCAAGCGUUGUCCGGAAUCACUGGGCGUAAAGGGCGCGUAGGUGGCGGAGCAAGUCAACGGUGAAAGCUCGACGCUCAACGUCGAGUCGGCCGUCGAGACUGCUUUGCUCGAGCACUGUAGAGGCAGAUGGAAUUCCGGGUGUAGCGGUGGAAUGCGUAGAGAUCCGGAAGAACACCGGUGGCGAAGGCGGUCUG